GAUGAACGCUGGCGGCGUGCUUAACACAUGCAAGUCGAACGGAAAGGCCCAAGCUUGCUUGGGUACUCGAGUGGCGAACGGGUGAGUAACACGUGGGUGAUCUGCCCUGCACUUCGGGAUAAGCCUGGGAAACUGGGUCUAAUACCGGAUAGGACCACAUUUUGGAUGGUGUGGUGGAAAGUUUUUCGGUGUGGGAUGAGCUCGCGGCCUAUCAGCUUGUUGGUGGGGUAAUGGCCUACCAAGGCGUCGACGGGUAGCCGGCCUGAGAGGGUGUACGGCCACAGUGGGACUGAGAGACGGCCCAGACGCCUACGGGAGGCAGAAGGGGGGAAGAUUGCACAAUGGGCGAAAGCCUGAUGCAGCGACGCCGCGUGGGGGAUGACGGCCUUCGGGUUGUAAAAUCCUUUCGAUAGGGACGAAGCGUUAUGUGACGGUACCUGGAGAAGAAGCACCGGCUAACUACGUG
rnacentral:rRNA from 1 species